rnacentral:lncRNA from 1 species
GAGACAUUAAAGCACAGAGAGGUUGCCAAAGAAAAUGGUAGUGCAGCCCAGGUCUGAGCAGUGCAGCCCAGCUCAGAUUAACAACCUGGACUCCUAGUCAUGACAGUACUUGGUCCUCACACAGGGCAGAGCGCCUAAGGAGCAGGGCUGAAGAGUCGAAAGAAAAGACGCCAGCUGCGAAGAAAGGGUACAGGAUGUCUUUGAAAAGGGAACAGGCUGUUUUUGCACUGCAACAUCAAAGUUGACGACAUAGGACAGAGGCUGUUUGGCCCACAAAGCUGAAAAUUUCUACCAUGUGGAUCUUUACAGAAAAAACUUGGCACCUCC